UUACGACCAUAUCAGUUUGGAACAUCUGUUCUCGUACGAUCAGCGAUGUUAAGCACUGUCGAAGCUAAUCAGUACGUAGGUGAGUGAUCACUUGGGAAUAUCAAGUGCUGUA